AUAUGGCCGAGUACUUGGUAUUUCACAAAAGGAAAAUAAUUUAAUAAAUCUAACGGAUCGUUCGCUAUUCGAGAGGGAUGCAAGCUUAUCUACAAGCAAAAUAAUUUAUAUAUGUGUUAAAUAUAACAGAACUGCAUGUCAUCUGUUACGGCUCUUUGAGGAUACUGCCGCCUCAGUCACACUAUUAUAUAUUGUCUUCUUUUCACAAUUCGAGUAUUACUUAAUUUAUAUCGACAUAGACGCGAUUGCCGCCUGUUUCAUCUUUUUAAGCACACAAAUUCCAGUGGGCUUCUAUCAUUCGAGAAAAAUCAACAUCCAAUCAUUUACCAUCAUUUAGAACAUUCAAAUAUAAGUGAUAUAAAAUAAGGCAAUAAAUACACAACAUCAAUCGGCCCUUUGAUGAUACCGCCGUACCGUCAUCAUUCUUUCACCCUAUGUACCGUUACAAUUAUUUCAAUACAAAUUUCAAAUCUACGCAUAACACUUUAUUUAUGGUUGACC